UUUUUUUUUUGUUGCUUUGGUUUAUUUAUUUAUUUAUUUAUUUAAUUUUGUUUUUUGCUUUUCCCUCUCCUUCUAAUAAACCCUAAAGCCCAUUGGCCCUGAGGGGUGAUCCUAGUGCUUCCUAUGGAAAAGUAAAGGGAUGUGAUUACAAGUAUUCUGUAAUUUUGGAAUGUUCAAAUUUUACAAAAUUUACAAAUGUUCAAGAUUUACUGAACGGUGUUAGCAGUUGGGAACCAACUAAGUAAAAAACACAUGAUGUCAUUUAUGAUUGUGUAUUUUAUGCUCCAGUGACAAGUGUUUCUGUUCACAAACACUUGACUAGCAAGCGAGUGAGUGCAUGGUUACAAUUUUGAUUGACAUCCAGUUUCUGCAAAGAAAGUACCAUGACUCAUCUAAAUUUUGAAGUGUAAUAAUCAUGAAGUUUUUUGUUAUAUAUAAAAAUACUCCAUAGAGAUAACUGGACAAGAAUGCAGUUUUCAAAGCUUUUGACUUGCUUUGGUGAUAAGUGAUAGCCAAAACAACUGAAUUAUUUACUUACCAAAUUAAUCUUAUUAACAGUUCACAUUUCUUUGUUUUCCAUAUCUUGCUUAGUUUUUUUUUUUUGUUUCUUUUUUAAUUGAAAUAAUUUAAAAUUGUAUCAUGUUACUAUUUGGUGGGUUUUAAUUGCUUGAUGGCUCUAAUUGAGGCCUAAUAAUCCAAAAGUAAAUAAAUUGUUACUUCAAGGUAACAAAUACCUGUAUAGAUGUGAUAGAUUUUUCUUAUGGUAAUUGAUUAAUGGUAUUUACACAUAGUAGAGAUCACCCUUUUCUAGUAUAAAAUGAUUUCAAAGGUAAUUAUUCUGAUAUUCCGAGCCUCAUGAUAUUUGACAUUGUCCAUAAACUGUUAGUUGAAUUAAUAUUAAUUAGAGAUGUAAAUCAAUUAUAAUCACUAUUAGUAUAGAGCUCUUUCAUAUGAUAAAAUACAGCUUAGCCCUAGAAGUAUAGUUUAAAUCUGUGACUUAUAAAUAGCAAUUAAUUGAGAAGAAUUUAUGUGUACCAUUUCCAUCAUGGUAAAUAAGAAUUGCUAAGCUAAUUGGACAAGUGUUGUUUGUCAGCUUCCUCUAUAAAAAUUAUUUCAACCUUUUUAAAAAUGUAGAUCCCAUUCAUUUCACACACUAGAUUACAAAAUUUGAAAGUGUGUAAAAAAGAUUUUUAAUCUGUUUCAAGUCACACAAUGUUGAGAGUAAUGCAAUGACAUUUGUAAUUUUUUAUCACUUUGCUAACAUAUUUUCAUUCAUUCAGCCAGAGUCAGAGUAUGCAUGUAUUUGUUUUAUUGCUUGUUUAUCUGGAUAGAUGAGAAUGACCUUGAACUAAUGGUUUUCUUGCCUCAGUCUACCCAAGGCUGAAAUUAGGGCAAGUGCCACCCUUUCUGGUUUAUAUCUUGCUGGGACUGAAAUAAAUACUUUGUGCACUUAAAAUGCAUUAUUAUUAUUAUUAUUAUUAUUAUUAUUAUUAUUAUUACUAUCAUGUGUAUUUACAUGAGCCCAGAUGCCUGUGAAAGCCAGAGGCAUCAGAUUCCUUGGAUCUUAGAGUUAUAGGCAGUUGUGAGCUACCUGAUGUGAGUGCUGGGAGCCAAACUUGAAUUCACUAGAAAAGUAUUACGUACCCUUAACUGCUGAGUUGUCUCUCUAGGCAUCUGAGUAUUCUGGUCAUACAGACCCCUUAACUUAUGAAUAGGUUAUAGCCAGAAAAUCUUACUGUAAGUCAGUAAUAUUGUACAUCAAAAAUGCAUUUAAGAAGAAUGAGCAUCAUGUGUAAUUGUGUGGCAGACAGGUGCUUUUUGUGAGUUUGACGUCAUCCUGGUCUACAAAGUGAGCUCCAGGCCAGCUAGGCCUACAUAAUGAGAACCUGCCUGGUUCAGUAGGUAAAGUGCUUUCUAUGAUAGCUGGAUUUCUUAGUACCCAUGUAAAUGGUAAGUAAAUGGGUGCCUUUAAUUGCAGCAUUCAAGAGCUUAGACAGAAGAUCCCUGGGGCAAGAUACAUAUCUAUACUAGCUGAAAUUGACCAGCUAUGGGUUCAGUGAGAAACUUUUCCUCAUUAAAUAAAAUGGAGGGCAAUUGAGGAAAUCAGUUAGUGUUAACUUUGGGUGCCCAUACAAUGUACAUAUACCCAUACCCCCAUAUUUACCUGCAAAUAUGCCAAUGUGUGUGUGUGUGUGUGUGUGUGUAAAAAAAAGUAAGAGUAAAAAAAAUCACUUAAUGUUGGUAGAUGUGUGUUGUUGCUGUCUGGAGGAUCUCCUUUUGAUCUGCAGAACCUGUGUUUAAAAGGAAUUUAGGGGUGGUGGCCUGUGGUCAUAACACUAAUUAAGAGAAGGUGAAGACAAGUAAAUCACUGAGUCUGGGUGGCCUGCCAGCCUGCCUAGCCUGCAUGGCCAAUUCCAGGUCACUGAAAAACCCUGUCUCCAACAAAGCAUAUAGAAUAUCUGAGGGACAAUAGCCGAGGUUCGCUUUGGCCUCUACCUACACAUGUCCACAAGCACACAUGCAUGCAUGCCCACACACAUACAUGCGCAUCUGUGUGCACACACAUACACAUAAUCCAUUUAGUAUACCUAGUUUCUUGCUCAGCGUGGUUUAGCAACAGUAUAUUCUACACUAUGGACUGUUUAUCCUUGUGAUCUAGUGGCUGACUGGAAGCUGCUGCUUGCUGCUGCUUCCCAAAGAGUCCAGCCUCUCAUCUUAGAUUUCAUAUGUUGCUUGGUGAAGGAAAGAUUAACAUCAUAUUUUGAGGUAUACUGUCUACUGAAUGUAUGCAUAUUACUCUCUCACUACUGUGAAGCCGAAAAGAAACACCAGUCAGACCAUUUUAGUCAAGGACUGUCUUAAUAUUGUCAUACCUUUGACUUUAAAGUCUGUACAGCUCUGGGUGAUGUGAUGUGUACAUGUAGUCCUGGGUACUCAGGGAGUUGAGCCAAAGAGGAGUGCUUGAGCCCAGCAUUUUGGUGUAAGCCCACAAGCAUAGUGAGACCCACCCUCCUUUAUAUAAAUAAAUGUUAAGAAAGCUGCACAAUUCCUCAUUGUUUAUGAUGAGAAAGCAUUUAUUUAGAACAAAGUAAGGUGAGGAUUCAAACUGCAUAUUCUGCUAUUUAUUUAUUUACUUUUUUUGAGAUACAGUCACACUGUAACCUGGCUAACCUUAAACUUACAGAAAUCCACCUACCUCUGUCUUCUGAAUGCUGGACUUAGUAUAUUUAUGUAUCUUUUAAAUGACUUAUCUUUUUGCUUUCCUAGAGACCAAUGAACCAUUCCAUCCAAGCAUGUAAACUGAAUAUUUUCUUUUUAGUGUUCCACAGUGUAUCUUCCAGUCUCUGUUCGUCAGAUGAACAGUUACUUGCUAAUUUGGCCCAUAAACAUGUUGAAUAAAUGUUAUAAUUGUGAGUGUUAUAACUAUAGUUUUAUAUCCUGGUGUAUUCUGUUUUCUCUCUUGAAUCCUAGCACUUGGGAGGCAGGGGCAGGCAGGUAGGUCUUUGUGAGUUCAAGACCAGUGUAGUUAGUGAGUCCCAGGAAGAUUACUUCCUAAUAAUCAGAGAGUCCCAGGCU
rnacentral:lncRNA from 1 species